AGCGAACGCUGGCGGCAGGCCUAACACAUGCAAGUCGAGCGCCCCCCCAGGGGAGCGUCAGACGGGAGAGUAACACGUGGGAACAUACCUUUUGGUUCGGAACAACUUAGUGAAACUUCAGCUAAUACCGGAUAAGCCCUUACGUGGUAAGAUUUAUCGCCGAAGGAUUGGGCCGCGUCUUCUUAGCUAGUUGGUCAGGUAACGGGUCAGCAAGGGGAGUAUCAGUAGCUGGGCUGAGAGGCUGAGCAGCGACACUGUCGCUGAGACGCGGCCCAGAAUACUACGGGAGGCAGCAGAGGCGGAUAUUGGAAUAUGGGGGCGACGAUGAACCAGCCAUGCCGCGUGAGUGAUGAAGGCCUGAGGGUAGUAAAGCUCUUUUGCCCGGGAAGAUAAUGACGGUACCGAAAGAAUAAGCCCCGGCUAACUUCGUG
rnacentral:rRNA from 1 species